AGUGAACGCUGGCGGCGUGCCUAAUACAUGCAAGUCGAACGGAGAUUAAGUAGCUUGCUAUUUAAUCUUAGUGGCGCACGGGUGAGUAAUAUAUAGCUAACUUGCCCAUUACUAAGGGACAACAGUUGGAAACGACUGCUAAUACCUUAUACUCCGUAUCUAUAUAAGUAGAUACGGGAAAGUUUUUCGGUAAUGGAUAGGGCUAUAUCGUAUCAGCUAGUUGGUAAGGUAAUGGCUUACCAAGGCUAUGACGCGUAACUGGUCUGAGAGGAUGAUCAGUCACACUGGAACUGAGACACGGUCCAGACUCCUACGGGAGGCAGCAGUAGGGAAUAUUGCUCAAUGGGGGAAACCCUGAAGCAGCAACGCCGCGUGGAGGAUGACACUUUUCGGGGCGUAAACUCCUUUUCUUGGGAAAGAAUUAUGACGGUACCCAAGGAAUAAGCACCGGCUAACUCCGUG
rnacentral:rRNA from 1 species